CCUACGGGUGGCAGCAGUCGAGAAUCAUUCACAAUGGGGGAAACCCUGAUGGUGCGACGCCGCGUGGGGGAAUGAAGGUCUUCGGAUUGUAAACCCCUGUCAUGUGGGAGCAAAUUAAAAAGAUAGUACCACAAGAGGAAGAGACGGCUAACUCUGUGCCAGCAGCGGCGGUAAUACAGAGGUCUCAAGCGUUGUUCGGAAUCACUGGGCGUAAAGCGUGCGUAGGCUGUUUCGUAAGUCGUGUGUGAAAGGCGCGGGCUCAACCCGCGGACGGCACAUGAUACUGCGAGACUAGAGUGAUGGAGGGGGAACCGGAAUUCUCGGUGUAGCAGUGAAAUGCGUAGAUAUCGAGAGGAACACUCGUGGCGAAGGCGGGUUCCUGGACAUUAACUGACGCUGAGGCACGAAGGCCAGGGGAGCGAAAGGGAUUAGAUACCCCUGUAGUC
rnacentral:rRNA from 1 species